GACGAACGCUGGCGGCGUGCCUAACACAUGCAAGUCGAACGGAGAUAUGAUUUCGGUUAUAUCUUAGUGGCGAACGGGUGAGUAACGCGUGAGCAACCUGACUCUUAGAGGGGGAUAACACCCGGAAACGAGUGCUAAUACCGCAUAAGACCACGACAUGGCAUCAUGACGAGGUCAAAGGAGCAAUCCGCUGAGAGAGGGGCUCGCGUCCCAUUAGAUAGAUGGCGGGGUAACGGCCCACCAUGUCAACGAUGGGUAGCCGAGCUGAGAGGCUGAUCGGCCACACUGGAACUGAGACACGGUCCAGACUCCUACGGGAGGCAGCAGUGGGGAAUAUUGGGCAAUGGGCGCAAGCCUGACCCAGCAACGCCGCGUGAGGGAAGAAGGCUUUCGGGUUGUAAACCUCUGUCCUUGGUGACGAAACAAAUGACGGUAGCCAAGGAGGAAGCCCUGGCUAACUACGUGCCAGCCGCCGCAGUAACAC
rnacentral:rRNA from 1 species